CUGUGUGGGGCUCAAACUCAACGAACCAUGAGAUCAUGACUUGAGCUAAAGUCGGACGCUCAACCAAAUGAGCCACUUGGGUGCUCCAACACGUGCAUUUUUGUAAGGAAAAUUAAAAUGUCAGAGAGACCUUAGUAGAGAGGCCGUUUUAAUCUCUCCUCCCCAAAGGUAAAAGCUGAAUGGUUUUGGAGAGUAACCUUCCUAGUAUUUGUGUUUUAUGUAUGUAGCCAUUAAAAAUACGCACGCUGAUCGAUAGGUGUUUAGGAAUCAGUGUCGGGUAACCCACCUUGGGGACAUCAGUCGUGGGAAAUGAACUUGGGAUUUCCAGUCUUGGAAGUGGACUGAUUUCACCGUGUUCUGGUGCAGUUUGAAACCUGACAGCUUCAGGAGUCUUAGGUUUUAUCCAGCUUCAGCAGUGAGGAACCUCAGCAGCCUGAAUACCAUGAGAAAGGUGGCCCUGGGGGGACUCAGGGCAGUCUGCCCCACCACGUUCCCGGCCGCUUUCAGCACCUGAGCCGGCGGACAGAUGCUCGAUCCAGAUGUCCUCUACACAUCCGCCAAGGGACACUGAGCGCCACGCGGGUGUUGGAGAUGUGCAUUGCCCCCUGACGGAAAUGCCGAGGUGCCCCCAGAGACCAGGAAUUUUCUCCCAAACAAACACGGAGCCGGGUCUGUUUGGCUGUGUAGCUGGGCGUUCUCCGAAUUCACUUCUGGAGAAUGCGAUGUUUAUUAAAAGAAACUCAAUGCUACACUGCAAAGACGAGGUAGCCCCCUUAUUGUCUGCCCCGGGAGGCCACCCCACGUCCCACCAGGCUGUGGAUUAAGGGUCAGCGUUCACAUCGCAGGAAGGACCCAGCGCGCCUCACUGUGUGUCGUGGGCAUUUGAUGGAUGACGCCUCUGUCAUGAAACAAAAAAAAGAAGAGGAAAUUUGGACGUAGACACGUGUAGAAGGAGAAUGUCAUGGAAACACGCAGAUGGCUGUCUGCCCACCACAGAGAGAGGCCACAGAAGAAACGCAGCCUGCCUGACACCUUGCUCCUGGACUCCCAACCUCCAGGACUGUGACGGGACAGGAGAAAUCCCUGUUGUUCAAGCUGCCAGGUCAGGGGCGGCCCGGGCCCCGUUAAGUGGCACGUGCUCCCACCCGGCCCUGGGACCUUGGGGCCAGCCACGAUUGACGUAGCACUUGUUUGCAAGCUUUAUUUCCUUGACCUCAUGGUUGAUUUUUCCACAUGAAACCCUAUGUCGCUCCUCAAAUGUAUGACAGAAAAGCGGGAGUGUUCUGGCUGUGCUGUUCAGCAUCCUUAUUCUCAACGCCCCUGCAGCCCCGGGCGCUUUCCUUAGAGGACCCUGUAAACACCCCUGCACAGAAGAGUGCUACUCAUUUUGCAGAAGAGUAACUUUCUGCAGAAAAACGUGAAAUGUGUUUACUUCUUUUCCUCUCGGUGCUGCUACAUGCCUCACGGCUCCAGAGAAUCAGUGCAGUCCAGAGUCAGGAGAUGCGGUGUAGAGUGGAACGCUGGGUUUGCAGGCCCAUGCCAGGGCUCAAGUCCCUCCUCUCCACUCCCUGGCCAAGUGCCAUUUGAACAGGUCACCUGAGCUCUAUGAGCCACGUUUUCUCCUCUGUAAAGCGGCACAAGGUGCUGAGAUGUGCGUGAGUCCAGAAGCCGCCUUGUAGAAGAAAUGUGAGUUUCGGAGUCAGUUCCGCGUGUGAACCCGGCUCUGCCGCCUCGUAGCUGUGUGGCCUUGGGUAAGUCGAGUGACCUCUCUGAGCUUCUUUCACGUGUCACAAAAUAUUCUUUAGAUUUUUUGUAAUUACGUUUUUAAUUUGAUUCCAGUAUAGUUGACAUACAGUGUUACAUUAGUUUCAAGUGUACAAUAUAGUGAUUCAACAAUUCUAUAUAUUUCUCAGUGCUCAUCAUAAUAGAUAAGGGUACUCUUUGGAUUUUUUAAAACAAUCGAGAAAUGUAAAAACCAUACUUACAGGUGGUUGCACAAAAACACAGCGGGCUAGAUUUGGCCGGUGGGCUGUAGUUUGCUGACCUGCAGGUUAGACUGUGAAAGCCUCCAAAGCGGUGAGCAAUUUCCUUUAUAUUCUCAGCGGGACUCCCUGUAGAUUCAGCAAAUGGCUGGUGAAUGAGAACGUCUUGCUACGUCUUAGAGUAGUAAUGUGGCUACUGGCUGGAGAUAUGAAUGUGAACAUGGCAUGUUGCCAGUACAGAAGGUUGUUCUGGAAAGACAGAAGCCCCUUCCGGGGGGAAUUUGCAUCUUAGGAGAGAAGGCAGGGAGACCUAACACCUUGGAAGUUGCUGCAAUUCUGGAGAAGCUGCCCUGGCUCCUCAGCCACUCCCCACUCAGCCAGCAGGGGGCGCUAGAGGACCGCUUUCCUUUGCGUGUCCGGGCAGCCGGGAAGCCUUGUCUGCGGCGCCCUGCCAGGAGGUGGGGAGAUGCUGGGAUGGCCCAGACGACCUCCGAGUGUCUUUCUGCCCAUUGAAGCUUGGCUUUUUUUUUUUUUUUUUUUUUUUUUUUGCCGAGGAAUCCACAGGGAUGAACUUCCCGGAGCUGGCUGGCAGCCGUGAGUUCUGCAGGAGCAGCCCCCUGGCCCCAGAAAUGCAAUAAAAUGAGAACAUGCCUCAUGUGCAGGGGGCUGUCUGUCAUCCUGGAGUUUCAAUCUUUCAGAAUCGCAGCGACCACAGCUUUUGGGAGAAAAGAUCACAGGUCCAUGGCGUUCAGCAUGGUUUUCUCAGCAAGGAUCCCGACCAGUAGGAGCUGCUCAGAAGUGUAUGUCCUGCCCACCCCACCCCUUCCAGGGCCCCCUGCAUUAGACACUGCAGUUAGGGGCCAGCAGCUGACCCCUGACAAGCCCUCCAGGUGAGUGGGAUGCAUGCACCAUGGCGAGAAUCACGGGUGACCUGUAGCUGUUUUCAGCCUUGGCUGCACUUUGCAACCUCUUGGCUUUCAAGCCACAAGGGGACCACGCCUCAGACCUAUUGCAUCAGGCCCUCUAGCUUGGGACCGGCACCUGUGGUUGAUUCGAAGCCAGCCAAGGUCAAGCCCGGUGGUGCACUGGAAGGUGGUUUUGGGGUCAGCCAGACUCAAGUUCAAAUCCCAGCUUUCUCACUUGCUGGCUGUUUGACCCUGGGCAAGGCACACCCCUUUCCUGGCCCCCAGGAAGUUUCCUGUGCUGGACAAUGUGAAAUCCUCGUCCUGCCUGGCAGAAUUUGUUUGAGGACUGAGCAAAGCGUCCUAUGUAUGGAAGCACCUAGAACAAAACCUGGUGCCCCGAGGGAGUUCAGUACAUGAUGGCUCUUCUCUGCUCCCUUCUGUUGGACUCUGGGAUUUUUCCAGAGCAGGGACCACAUCCUAGUUUUCUUGCAUCCCCAGGGAAUAAUUCAUCGCGUGUGCCCUGCACGGCUGGAGAGAGCUGGGGAAGUGGCCAUGUGAGAGGCUCAGCUACUGGUUUUCUUCCCUUACAGCCCGGCUGCCAUGGGCUAGGAUCACCUUUCUCUGCAUCGUCUUAACUAAGGUCAGCCCUGGUGUCUGUUCAAACGACAAACGCUCGGUCCCCUUGACCUUCAGGAAUCUAUCCUGGUACAAACGAAAUGGCCAGAAUGUUAGGAUAUGUGUGCAAAGAUAUUUAUUGGUGUGUCGUCUGCCCUGGCAAUAAUUGGAAACAUUACUUUACCAAUAGGUGAAUAUAAGAAUCAAUUCUGGCACAUUCAGUAUUAUGGAACAUCAUGGGUCAUUACGAAGAAUUAGGUAGAUCUCCCUGUAUUGAUCUGGGAGGCACACUAUCUAUUGUUCAGCAAUAAAGCAACUUGCUGAUUCAUGCCUAUGA